rnacentral:rRNA from 1 species
GUUCGAUUCUGGCUCCAGAUUGAACGCUGGCGGGAUACUUUCCAUGCAAGUCAGACGACAGCACGGACUCGAGUCCUGGUGGCGAGUGGCGAACGGGUGAGUGUGUAUCCGGAACGUGCCUAGUAGCAGGGGAUAGCUUGCGCGAAAGCGUAUCGCCUCUACGCCGCCCUUCAGGGGAAAGCGGGGGACCUUUGAGCUCGCACUAUUGAAACGGCCGAUAUCGGAUUGGCUAGUUGGUGGGGUAACGGCUCGCAAGGCGACGAUCCGUAGCUGGUUUGAGAGGACGACCAGCCACACUGGGACUGAGACACGGCCCAGACUCCUACAGGAGGCAGCAGUGGGGAAUUUUGGACAAUGGGGGAACCCUGAUCCAGCCAUCGCGUGUGCGAUGAAGGCCUUCGGGUUGUAAAGCACUUUUGGCAGAAGAAACGGCUGGGAUAAUACGUGCAACUGACAAUACCUGCAGAAUAAGCACCCGGCUAACUACGUGCCAGCAGCCGCGGUAAUGGGUGCAAGCGUUAAUCGGAAUUACUGGGCGUAAAGCGUGCAUAGCGGUUCGGAAGAAGGUAAAUCCCAGAGCUUAACUUUGGAACUGCAUUUUUAACUACCGGGCUAGAGGUGUCGGGAGGGAGGUGGAAUUCCGCGUGUAGCAGUGAAAUGCGUAGAUAUGCGGAGGAACUUACCGAGUGGCGAAGGCAGCCUCCUGGGACUCCACUGACGCUCGCUGCAGCGUGAGGGAGCAAACAGGAUUAGAUACCCUGAGUAGUCCACCGCCCUAAACGAUGUCAACUAGCUGUUGGGGCCUUCGGGCCUUGGUAGCGCAGCUAACGCGUGAAGUUGACCGCCUGGGAAAUACGGCCGCAAGAUUAAAACUCAAAGGAAUUGACGGGGACCCGCACAAGCGGUGGAUGAUGUGGAUUAAUUCGAUGCAGCAUGACGAAAAACCUUACCUACCCUUGACAUGUCUGGAAUGCCGAAAGAGAUUUGGCAGUGCUCGCAGAAGAACCGGAACACAGGGUGCUGCAUGGCUGUCGUCAGCUCGUAUGCGUGAGAUGUUGGGUUAAGUCCCGCAACGAGCACCAAGCCCUUGUCAUUAGUUGCUACGAAAGGCACUCUAAUGAGACUGCCGGUGACAAACCGGAGGAAGGUGGGGAUGACGUCCGUCCUCAUGGCCCUUAUGGGCCGGGCUUCACGUCAUACAAUGGUCGGGACAGAGGAAUUCGCCAACCCGCGAGGAAAUAAUCCCGAAACCGAUCGUAGUCCGGAUCGCAGUCUUAACUGGUACGUGAAGUCGGAAUCGCUAGUAAUCGCGGAUCAGCAUGUCGCGAAUGCGUUCCCGGGUCUUGUACACACACCGCCGUCCAUGGGUGGGUUUUGCAAGUAGUUAGCCUAACCGCAAAAGGAGGCGAUUACCACGGUAAGUUCAUGACUGGGGUGAAGUCGUAACAAGGUAA